GUGAGCUCACUUCAGCAACACACAUACUAACAUUAGAUACAGAGACGAUUAGCAUGGCCCCUGUGCAAGGAUGACACGCAAAUUCGUGAAGCGUUCCAUAUUUUU